rnacentral:snRNA from 1 species
GUGCUCGCUUCGGCAGCACAUAUACUAAAAAUUGGAACGAUACAGAGAAGAUUAGCAUGGCCCCCGCGCAAGGAUGACACGUUUUUAAAAUUUAUAUUUUU